UCUCCCUCUCUCUAACUGACCCGGGCUGAUCCCAGAAUCUAUGAAGGGUUGAAUCUGGUUAGUGUUUGUGUGGGAGACUGCUGGGAAAUCUCAGAGC
rnacentral:rRNA from 1 species